rnacentral:rRNA from 1 species
AGCGUAGACGGUAAAGCAAGUCUGAAGUGAAAGCCCGGGGCUCAACCCCGGGACUGCUUUGGAAACUGUUUAACUAGAGUGCUGGAGAGGUAAGCGGAAUUCCUAGUGUAGCGGUGAAAUGCGUAGAUAUUAGGAGGAACACCAGUGGCGAAGGCGGCUUACUGGACAGUAACUGACGUUGAGGCUCGAAAGCGUGGGGAGCAAACAA